rnacentral:rRNA from 1 species
GAUGAACGCUAGCUACAGGCUUAACACAUGCAAGUCGAGGGGCAGCAUGGUCUUAGCUUGCUAAGGCCGAUGGCGACCGGCGCACGGGUGAGUAACACGUAUCCAACCUGCCGUCUACUCUUGGACAGCCUUCUGAAAGGAAGAUUAAUACAAGAUGGCAUCAUGAGUCCGCAUGUUCACAUGAUUAAAGGUAUUCCGGUAGACGAUGGGGAUGCGUUCCAUUAGAUAGUAGGCGGGGUAACGGCCCACCUAGUCUUCGAUGGAUAGGGGUUCUGAGAGGAAGGUCCCCCACAUUGGAACUGAGACACGGUCCAAACUCCUACGGGAGGCAGCAGUGAGGAAUAUUGGUCAAUGGGCGAGAGCCUGAACCAGCCAAGUAGCGUGAAGGAUGACUGCCCUAUGGGUUGUAAACUUCUUUUAUAAAGGAAUAAAGUCGGGUAUGCAUACCCGUUUGCAUGUACUUUAUGAAUAAGGAUCGGCUAACUCCGUGCCAGCAGCCGCGGUAAUACGGAGGAUCCGAGCGUUAUCCGGAUUUAUUGGGUUUAAAGGGAGCGUAGAUGGAUGUUUAAGUCAGUUGUGAAAGUUUGCGGCUCAACCGUAAAAUUGCAGUUGAUACUGGAUAUCUUGAGUGCAGUUGAGGCAGGCGGAAUUCGUGGUGUAGCGGUGAAAUGCUUAGAUAUCACGAAGAACUCCGAUUGCGAAGGCAGCCUGCUAAGCUGCAACUGACAUUGAGGCUCGAAAGUGUGGGUAUCAAACAGGAUUAGAUACCCUGGUAGUCCACACGGUAAACGAUGAAUACUCGCUGUUUGCGAUAUACAGCAAGCGGCCAAGCGAAAGCGUUAAGUAUUCCACCUGGGGAGUACGCCGGCAACGGUGAAACUCAAAGGAAUUGACGGGGGCCCGCACAAGCGGAGGAACAUGUGAUUUAAUUCGAUGAUACGCGAGGAACCUUACCCGGGCUUAAAUUGCAGAUGAAUUACGGUGAAAGCCGUAAGCCGCAAGGCAUCUGUGAAGGUGCUGCAUGGUUGUCGUCAGCUCGUGCCGUGAGGUGUCGGCUUAAGUGCCAUAACGAGCGCAACCCUUGUUGUCAGUUACUAACAGGUUCCGCUGAGGACUCUGACAAGACUGCCAUCGUAAGAUGUGAGGAAGGUGGGGAUGACGUCAAAUCAGCACGGCCCUUACGUCCGGGGCUACACACGUGUUACAAUGGGGGGUACAGAGGGCCGCUACCACGCGAGUGGAUGCCAAUCCCCAAAACCUCUCUCAGUUCGGACUGGAGUCUGCAACCCGACUCCACGAAGCUGGAUUCGCUAGUAAUCGCGCAUCAGCCACGGCGCGGUGAAUACGUUCCCGGGCCU